AUGCCCUUUGGGAUUCUCAGAAUGAAGUGAGGUGAGGCCUCUGUGACCUCACAGGCAAAUCCCUACCACAGUAACUCAGUGUUCUUUGCCUGAGGGCAACACAGAGUCCACCAAGGAGGGCUGGGAUUCGAAGCAGGCCCAAGUGUCUGGCAGUAGAAAAAAGUUGCAGUAUCAGUGGAAUGUGUGCCAAGAAAUUGUCAAAAUAAGGACUCAGGGAGAUGACACCCACAACUCAUCGGACGAUGAGGCCCAGGGAUGGCCACCCCCAGCCUGUACUGCAGACUCUACAGGAUGAAGUUCUGCUGUUGUGCUGUUCUCCAGUGAGUGACACUCUCAGAAGUCAUCGACUACCAUUGCAUGGCCAGAAAUGAUGACCAUAUAUGAACACUAAUGUAAACAUAUGUUUUGAUCUCCAAGAACUCAGAAUGGUCCACUAUAUCAGCUGUAAAGAAAUUGGUAUGUUUGACUCACAGGAUGGCCAGAUCCUCAAUGGUAAGAUAUGAAGGCAUGUCCCAGCAGCUCAAAUGAAUGAAGCCUUGGUCACUUAAAAAAAAAAUAUGUGAGUGGGCCAGACCCUGACCCUGAAAGGCUGAGAGGAUUGCAAAAAGUAAUGUGGUACUGAGAUGAUUCCUACUGAGGAAGGCUAUCGUGAUAUUUGGCCUGGGACAAAAAAGAGGAGAGAUGUGGGCCUGGGCCUACACUUAAACUGGAAGAGUCCCAAGCCAAAAGAAAAAGAAAUGUGGGACUAGACCUAUCUAUAAACUUUUAACUCCUUAGAGGCCUGUGCCAAAAGAAAAGAUAUGGGCCUGGGCCUAUCCCUGACCUGAAGAGGCCUAGGCUCUC